rnacentral:lncRNA from 1 species
UUUAAACAGUCCAUAAAAGUUUUUUUUUACAGACCCAAACAGCCAAAUUUUACUAGACUAGCCCAGCCUAAACUAAGUCCCAAAUCCCUUAACCCGUUUACACCCUUGACCCAUUACAAUUACAACUUUAGCCCAAAUAUACCCGAAGCCCAGACCUAAACUGGACCCGAAUAACAGUGGCCCAAAAAACCCAAAACUAUCAGCUAGGGUUUUCAGCCCUAGCUCUUUCCCCUCGCGCCGCAAUAGUUUCUGAAAGCUUCGGGGAGCGUCGGUGCAACUCCCCAGAUUGAGGCCAUCAAUGCAUACCGACGCGCCAUCAAUGCGUUUGUCCCUCUCGUGACCGUCCAGCACCGCGAUCUCAGGCCUCCCCUCUAGCCUUGGUACCACCGUUAACGCUGAGAUCAUUGGGAUACCUGCAAGAAAAGGAAACAAACAGCAGAUACGCGAAAAAAGCAGAGUAGAAAAAGGCAAGGAAAUCACAGUCAAAGAUACAGAAGACACAAAAUAGAAAGAAAUCUUAGAUUUCUUUCCCCGAAUAUGUAAGGGACCGAGGCUAUAAAGCCUUUCUUUUCACUUGUAAAAAGGACUUACGUUCUGAAAAAUACACAUGAGGCAGAUACCAAAACAUUGUACACAGAAUCGUUUUUGCAAUAAUAUACCAGAGAUUUUUUUUUACAGAAGACAAAGGUGACAUAUUUUUAUUUCCGUUUCAUUCGCUUGAUCAUGAGUUUAUGCAUAUAAUAUAUUAAACAGAUAGAGAGAGAGUAUACCUAGAGAAUCACUUUGAAAAGCGAAACUUUUCAAGUUCCGACCGUCGUGUGUGGCGGGGUCGAUGGCGGCGCGUGGAUCUCAACGUGGAGGUCCGAUGACCAGAGCUGAUCGGCUAAAUGCCGGAGCUCAGAGGACCAGGGAUCCUCUUCAGAGGAUUUUUU